rnacentral:rRNA from 1 species
UACGUAGGUGGCAAGCGUUAUCCGGAAUUAUUGGGCGUAAAGGGUGCGUAGGCGGUUUAUUAAGUCUAUGGUGAAAGUGCGGGGCUCAACCCCGUAUGGCCAUAGAAACUGAUAGACUUGAGUGCAGGAGAGGGCAAUGGAAUUCCAUGUGUAGCGGUAAAAUGCGUAGAUAUAUGGAGGAACACCAGUGGCGAAGGCGGUUGCCUGGCCUGUAACUGACGCUGAAGCACGAAAGCGUGGGGAGCAAAUAGG